CUUCCCGCGGCCUGGCGGUUGCCGUGGAGACGGCGCCGCUCCGGCGCGGUGCUCGAUCCCGCUCACAAGCGUUCCGCCACCCGCGAGGGCCCCCGGACGCGGCCGUCCCCCUUUUCUUUGGCUUUUACCUAUAAAAUCCCUUAGUUCAACACCAGCCUUCUCCCCCCUCCCCUCUCUUCCUGUCUUUGCGCCAGGAAAGGCUUGCCAAGGGAGAGCCAACAGGCAGGGGCGGGGGCUGCCAUUGCUGCCUCUGCCAAAGCCACCUCAGUAACGAUGCUACGCUGCUUGGGAAUUGCAGAGCCGUGCUUUUGAACUCUUCCCAGUCGAAAUUAAAGGAGAGCAUAUUCUUACUUAAGGAAAAUAUUUCUUAAAGUCUAGUAAAGCAAGGGACACCUUGCAAAGUUUGGGCAAUUUCCUGGCCUUUGCGGGAAAAGCAGUGAGAGUUUAAGGUUGCUGCACAUCUCAUGCUAUAUCCUUCAGCAGCUCACCGCCUCCCAAACCCGCCCUUGCUUUACUGCAGAUUUCCAAAAAAUGGCGUUUUCCCAUUAACCUACUGCUCAGGCUGAACAGCAGCCCCAUUUCUAAGGAAAAAAAGAAAAAGCAGAAUAGAGAGAAACACGGACCCGCCAUCACCAGACGAGGAGCCUUGAGGGCGUGGUGACGACUCCAACCCUCAGCACCCUUCGCCUGUUCCCCCGCCACCUCUAGGAGUGGUUCUGUUGGUUUCUAAUAAAAAAAAAAUUAAUCACA